AUUGAACGCUGGCGGCAUGCCUUACACAUGCAAGUCGAACGGUAACAGGUCUUCGGAUGCUGACGAGUGGCGAACGGGUGAGUAAUACAUCGGAACGUGCCCAGACGUGGGGGAUAACGAGGCGAAAGCUUUGCUAAUACCGCAUACGAUCUAAGGAUGAAAGCAGGGGACCGCAAGGCCUUGCGCGUUUGGAGCGGCCGAUGGCAGAUUAGGUAGUUGGUGGGAUAAAAGCUUACCAAGCCGACGAUCUGUAGCUGGUCUGAGAGGACGACCAGCCACACUGGGACUGAGACACGGCCCAGACUCCUACGGGAGGCAGCAGUGGGGAAUUUUGGACAAUGGGCGAAAGCCUGAUCCAGCAAUGCCGCGUGCAGGAUGAAGGCCUUCGGGUUGUAAACUGCUUUUGUACGGAACGAAAAGGCUCUGGCUAAUACCUGGGGCACAUGACGGUACCGUAAGAAUAAGCACCGGCUAACUACGUGCCAGCCGCCGCCGUAA
rnacentral:rRNA from 1 species